CCUACGGGCGGCUGCAGUGGGGAAUUUUGGACAAUGGGCGCAAGCCUGAUCCAGCCAUGCCGCGUGCGGGAAGAAGGCCUUCGGGUUGUAAACCGCUUUUGUCAGGGAAGAAAAGGUUCUGGCUAAUACCUGGGACUCAUGACGGUACCUGAAGAAUAAGCACCGGCUAACUACGUGCCAGCAGCCGCGGUAAUACGUAGGGUGCAAGCGUUAAUCGGAAUUACUGGGCGUAAAGCGUGCGCAGGCGGUUAUGCAAGACAGAGGUGAAAUCCCCGGGCUCAACCUGGGAACUGCCUUUGUGACUGCAUGGCUAGAGUACGGUAGAGGGGGAUGGAAUUCCGCGUGUAGCAGUGAAAUGCGUAGAUAUGCGGAGGAACACCGAUGGCGAAGGCAAUCCCCUGGACCUGUACUGACGCUCAUGCACGAAAGCGUGGGGAGCAAACAGGAUUAGAUACCCCGGUAGUC
rnacentral:rRNA from 1 species